AACGAACGCUGGCGGCAGGCUUAACACAUGCAAGUCGAACGCCCCGCAAGGGUAGUGGCACACGGGUGAGUAACGCGUGGGAACAUACCCUCUUCUACGCAAUAGCUCUCGGAAACUGGAAUUAAUAUCGUAUACGCCCUACGCGGGAAAGAUUUAUCGGGGAAGGAUUGGCCCGCGUUGGAUUAGCUAGUUGGUGGGGUAAAGGCCUACCAAGGCGACGAUCCAUAGCUGGUCUGAGAGGAUGAUCAGCCACAUUGGGACUGAGACACGGCCCAAACUCCUACGGGAGGCAGCAGUGGGGAAUAUUGGACAAUGGGCGCAAGCCUGAUCCAGCCAUGCCGCGUGAGUGAUGAAGGCCUUAGGGUUGUAAAGCUCUUUCACCGAUGAAGAUAAUGACGGUAGUCGGAGAGGAAGCCCCGGCUAACUUCGUG
rnacentral:rRNA from 1 species